GCGCGAGCUGGGCACGUUGGUGAGCCCACCCGGCUGUAAACCGGACGCCUCGGCUGUGGCGGUUCGACUCCGUCCUCGCGCA
rnacentral:tRNA from 1 species